rnacentral:rRNA from 1 species
UUAGAGUUUGAUCCUGGCUCAGGAUGAACGCUAGCGGCAGGCCUAAUACAUGCAAGUCGAACGGAUUGGGGUAGCAAUACUCUAAUUAGUGGCGCACGGGUGCGUAACGCGUAUGCAGCCUACCUUUUACUGGGGGAUAGCCCGAGGAAACUCGGAUUAAUACCGCAUAACAUCACGAGAGGGCAUCUGAUUGUGAUUAAAGAUUUUAUUGGUAAAAGAUGGGCAUGCGUGCCAUUAGCUAGUUGGUAGUGUAACGGACUACCAAGGCUUCGAUGGCUAGGGGUUCUGAGAGGAUGAUCCCCCACACUGGUACUGAGAUACGGACCAGACUCCUACGGGAGGCAGCAGUAGGGAAUAUUGGGCAAUGGACGAGAGUCUGACCCAGCCAUGCCGCGUGCAGGAUGAAGGCCUUCUGGGUUGUAAACUGCUUUUAUCAGGGAAGAAAACCUCUUUGCGAAGAGAACUGACGGUACCUGGUGAAUAAGCACCGGCUAACUCCGUGCCAGCAGCCGCGGUAAUACGGAGGGUGCAAGCGUUGUCCGGAUUUAUUGGGUUUAAAGGGUGCGUAGGCGGCUUUAUAAGUCCGUGGUGAAAGCCAACAGCUCAACUGUUGAACUGCCAUGGAUACUGUAGGGCUUGAGUACAGACGAGGUAGGCGGAAUGGAUAGUGUAGCGGUGAAAUGCAUAGAUACUAUCCAGAACCCCGAUUGCGUACGCAGCUUACUAGGCUGUAACUGACGCUGAGCACGAAAGCGUG